AGCACAUAAGGAUUAAUUAAAAAUAAAAAUAAACUUCGAAUACCAGGUUUCGUACUUUCUCACUUUAGUAUCCGUAGUUUAAAGUGUAUCAAAUUAGUGUCUUGUGGUUUCAUUUUUAUCUUUUCGUCAGCUUUUUCGUUAAUAUUUCGUUAAAUUAUAUACAAAAAAAACUUCAGAUACCCACUUAGGUUUAUUGAAUAUUCACUUUAGUACUCUUUAGUUUUAACUUUAUCACUAAUUUAAUGAAAAAUUAGUAAAAUCAAUAAUAAAAAAAUAAAAAUGAAACCACAUAGUACUAUAUUGGUACACUUUAAAUUAUAGAGGACUAAAGUGAGAAAGUAUGAAAUUAUGGGGGGCAUUUGAAGUUUUCCCUAAAAAUAAAAAAAAAC
rnacentral:lncRNA from 1 species